rnacentral:rRNA from 1 species
AACGAACGCUGGCGGCAGGCCUCAAACAUGCAAGUCUAGGGGGUGUAGCAAUACAUCACCGGCGGACGGGUGCGUAACGCGUGGGAAUGUACCUAUUGGUUCGGAACAACACAGGGAAACUUGUGCUAAUACCGAAUGUGCCCGUAAGGGGAAAGAUUUAUCGCCAAUAGAUCAGCCCGCGUAGGAUUAGCUAGUUGGUGAGGUAAUGGCUCACCAAGGCUCCGAUCCUUAGCUGUUCUGAGAGGAAGAUCAGCCACACUGGGACUGAGACACGGCCCAGACUCCUACAGGAGGCAGCAGUUGGGAAUCUUGGACAAUGGGGAAAACCCUGAUCCAGCCAUGCCGCGUGAGUGAUGAAGGCCUUCGGGUUGUAAAACUCUUUCGACGGGGACGAUAAUGACGGUACCCGUAGAAGAAGCUCCGGCUAACUUCGUGCCAGCCGCCGCAGUAA